UCGGAUUGCAGUCUGCAACUCGACUGCAUGAAGCUGGAAUCGCUAGUAAUCGCGGAUCAGAAUGCCGCGGUGAAUACGUUCCCGGGUCUUGUACACACCGCCCGUCACACCAUGGGAGUCGGAUAUGCCCGAAGUCAGUAGACCCAACCGCAAGGAGGGAGCUGCCGAAGGUGGAGCCGAUGACUGGGGUGAAGUCGUAACAAGGUACC
rnacentral:rRNA from 1 species